rnacentral:rRNA from 1 species
UACGAAGGGGGCUAGCGUUGCUCGGAAUCACUGGGCGUAAAGCGCACGUCGGCGGCUUUUUAAGUCAGGGGUGAAAUCCUGGAGCUCAACUCCAGAACUGCCUUUGAUACUGGGAAGCUUGAGUCCGGGAGAGGUGAGUGGAACUCCGAGUGUAGAGGUGAAAUUCGUAGAUAUUCGGAAGAACACCAGUGGCGAAGGCGGCUCACUGGCCCGGUACUGACGCUGAGGUGCGAAAGCGUGGGGAGCAAACAGG